rnacentral:rRNA from 1 species
UACGUAGGGUGCGAGCGUUGUCCGGAAUUACUGGGCGUAAAGGGCGCGUAGGCGGCCUUCUAAGUCGAACGUGAAAUCCCUGGGCUCAACCCAGGAACUGCGUCCGAUACUGGAAGGCUUGAAUCCGGGAGAGGGAUGCGGAAUUCCAGGUGUAGCGGUGAAAUGCGUAGAUAUCUGGAGGAACACCGGUGGCGAAGGCGGCAUCCUGGACCGGUAUUGACGCUGAGGCGCGAAAGCCAGGGGAGCAAACAGG